GUGGGGAAUAUUGGACAAUGGGCGAAAGCCUGAUCCAGCAAUGCCGCGUGAGUGAAGAAGGCCUUCGGGUUGUAAAGCUCUUUUACCCGGGAAGAUAAUGACUGUACCGGGAGAAUAAGCCCCGGCUAACUCCGUGCCAGCAGCCGCGGUAAUACGGAGGGGGCUAGCGUUGUUCGGAAUUACUGGGUGUAAAGCGCACGUAGGCGGUCUUUUAAGUCAGAGGUGAAAGCCCGGGGCUCAACUCCGGAAUUGCCUUUGAAACUGGGAGACUUGAACACGGGAGAGGUGAGUGGAAUUCCGAGUGUAGAGGUGAAAUUCGUAGAUAUUCGGAGGAACACCAGUGGCGAAGGCGGCUCACUGGACCGUUGUUGACGCUGAGGUGCGAAAGCGUGGGGAGCAAACAGGAUUAGAAACCCCUGUAGUCC
rnacentral:rRNA from 1 species